UCACAGUUUUCCCUAUCUCCACCUCCUCCCCUAGCCCAACCCCUUCAUGAAUUUUUUUUAAACCACUAAUCAAGUUCAAGUGUUUCCCAAAAAAAACAUGCUGCAGUCCUACCCCCUAGCAACAUGUUGCUAUCUUUGGAAAUGGUGCCUGUGUAGAAUUAGAGUAAUCACUUGUUGCAUGGUUGAGUAUUGUUGGUGUACUCAUCAAAACAGGAAGUCUGGAGACAAACACUUAUGCAGGAAGAUGGCUACGUGACCGAGGGAGGGAUCAGAGACUGUAGUGGUGUGUCUGCAAGCCAAGGGACUGCAAAGACUUUGGAGAAUCAGCAGAAGCUAGAAGGGAAAGUCACUCCACCCUCCCUGAGGGACAGCAAUAGUCCAUUGUAUGGGCCACCAAGCUUAAGGGGCUUUGCUACUGCAAUCCUAAGCAAACGCAAACAAUCCCUGACUUCCGGUUCACCUGAUUUUUCCCAUUAGGCUGUAAACUCCAUAGUGGAACAGUUCUUUCCCUUGUUUUAAAGUGUGUGUGUGUGUGUGUGUGUGUGUGUGUGUAUGUGUGUGCGCGUGUGUACAGGCAUGGGGGUGCCACAGCAGCAUUGGAGGUCAAAGGACAGCUUUUGGGGUGAUAUCCCUCCUCAUGGGGUCUGUGUGAAAUGUGUUUCCUGGGUGUUGCCUUCUCGUUUCCGGAAGACAUUGCUAGAAGAGACAUCAAGGAGGCAUGGGCUGGUUCCCUAAACAGGAACGGCAGAGCCAAGGGAGAACACAGGAGCCCUUCAAACGCCCGUCUGUUUAGUAGACUCCUGGCCUUACAUGCCUUUCGUUCCAAAGGGGUAAAGUUGCUUCCGUGGCCUGGUCUCCGGCCGUUUGCGCAUGCCAGGGAAGGAACUCAGGGACCCCUGGAUAACCUGCAGCACCCAGCUGCAUUUUGGGGUCUCUCAUCUGAAACUGGAGACCUCUACUCGAGGUCAUAUCUCUGACUGCAAAUUGGGCAAAAAGACUUGGAAGUGGCCAUGACCCAUCCGGCACACUGAAGGUUCCCUUUGAGCAAGGGGUCCUUCCCAGCUUCCACCACAAAACCCCAGUCAGCCCGUCUCCCCUGGAGCAAGAGAAUAGGGAUUGGCUCUGACGGAACUGGGUGCUUUGAUGUCCGAUGACUGGACAGAGUUCUCCAGAACCAGGGCAGGCUGAGGCCACUGGUCAGUCCUAAGUUAGAGUGUGGCAAACCGGACCUCAAGUAACAAUCACCUUCCUGGAGAGGAAGGGAGGCAGAGGGCAGAGUCUCCACUGCAGACACCUGGGAAAGGUCAGUGGGAAAGAUUCGGCUCCUUGCCCUCCACACCCAGCUGCCAGCUCUUAGGCCCAGGAUCUGUGAAUAGCCGAGCUUCCGAAACUUUCCAGUGAGCUGCUCCAGAAUGAAGGCAGAUCCCAGCGUAGUCUGGCAGUUUUCUGGCCUAGAAGGGGAAAGUGACUCCUAGCUUGCUUUGAGUUUGAGAGGCCCCCAUAGGCUCAUAUAUUUGCGUGCUUGCUGCUGGAACUGUUUAGGAAGGUUAGGAGGUGUGGCUUUAAGGAGGUGUGUCUCUGGGAGCGGGCUUUGAGGUUUUAAAACCCCAGCGGGUUUACCCUGCCUUGUGCUUGUGGAUCAGGAUGCAAACUCUCACUGCUGCCCCCGCACCGUGCCUGCCUGCUGGCCGCCAUGAUGGACAUGGGCUUUAGGUCUCUGAAACCGUAAGCCUGAGAAAGUGCUUCCCUUUGUGAGACAGCGUCUCCGUGUAUCGCCUUGGCUGGUUGGAAUUUGCUGUCACUGUGGAAGGACUGAAUACAAGCAGCCAUGCCCGUGCUGGUAGAAAGAUCUGGAAGUGAGCCACAGUCUCUGCCAAGUGUUGUCAAAAAAGGAAGCGCUUUCAGAGCAGCCCCCAGAAGCCGCAGAGGGGCACACUGGAUGUGGGAGAAGCCACCCACUACUGUACUACUGUCAGAGAGCAAGACAGGGUGAAGCGCCAGUGCCCUGCCGUCAGACUGUGUGAGCACCUGGGAUCCUGCCGUCAGACUGUGUGAGCACCUGGGGCCCUGCCGUCAGACUGUGUGCACCUGUGCCAGCGCCCUGCCGUCAGACUGUGUGAGCACCUGGGGCCCUGCCGUCAGACUGUGUGCACCUGUGCCAGCGCCCUGCCGUCAGACUGUGUGAGCACCUGGGGCCCUGCCGUCAGACUGUGUGCACCUGUGCCAGCGCCCUGCCGUCAGACUGUGUGAGCACCUGGGGCCCUGCCGUCAGACUGUGUGCACCUGUGCCAGCGCCCUGCCGUCAGACUGUGUGAGCACCUGGGGGCACGCGCCUGGGUUACCCAUUUCCCACCGUUGUGGGGUGGCAUCUAGUUUUACUGCCCACCCUGUCCCCAAUGCUUCUUUACCUUAGACGCCCUUUAACCUGUUCCUGACCUGCUCACUCUGUCAGGGCUUCUCUAGAAACGGGAGGAUACUGUUAUCCUAGCGGCAGAGAGAGUUGUUAGACAGGACAAAGUGGUUCCAAGGUUCCCCAGUGUCCCCACUCAGCUGCCUUCUCCAACACUGGGCAAACUCAGACCCUUAGAACCUAAAACAACAACAAAAACAAACAAAGCAAAAAACCAAAUCACUGUUCCUCUGUCAGGAGACCUGGUUCCAGCACCUGCGGUGUUUCCCGUGCAGAUGAUGAGGGGAUUCAGAUCUACCUGUGUUCACAACCUCCUCUUUAGAGGAGCCUCGAAAAGUCCACGUGUUGAGUUUUCAGACUAUCUGCUCUCAUUUGUACACAUUAACUUGAUUGUGGGUAUGGGCUUCCAAGCAGCUUGUCGCUCCAGGCAGGGGAGUGUCUAGUGACAUGGGUAAUGGCAGACACUUCCGUCGGCUUGGUCUCCUUGCGAACAGGUGCUCACUGCCAGUCACUCAGGGGAAAGCUCUGGAGGACAGCUUAUGAGACUCAUCUGAACUGAGGCUGUAAGGACAAGUGCUUUGCAUCCUGCCGUCUGUCAAGAGUCUGUCUGUCUAGUGUAAAACACUGGCCUGUGCAGUAAGUUGCCUGCACUGUUUGAGUCCCUGAGACCCUGGAUUUGAAGACGGGCUUUGGCUCUCCCACUUCAGAUCCAAGGAUGUUUGUCCCAACAUGUCCUCCAAAACCCCCUUUCCUGAGCUGGUCCCUGACUCUGACAGGGAGAAAGGAAAACACAACAGCCAAAGAGUAAAGGAAAGUACUUAUUUCAUGUCUAAA